GAGAUUAUCUGGGACCAGUCUCCACUCCCGAUAUUUAACUACAUUAUCUUUUAGGUUAUGUUAGUAACGGUUGUUUUCUUGUUGAGAGCAAACUCAUUUUGUCUGUGGGACUUACUCUUUUCACCUUCCUAAUAGAAAUCUUGGAGCCUAUUAACCAAAUUAACUACAUUAUCUUUUAGGUUAUGUUAGUAACGGUUGUUUUCUUGUUGAGAGCAAACUCAUUCUGUCUGUGGGACUUACUCUUUUCACCUUCCUGAUAGAAAUCUUGGAACCUAUUAACCAAAUUAAUGAUGUGGAGAUUAGUUUGUGAAUACCAUAGCUUUUCUAUAUUGUUUGUUGCUUUCUUAUGCAUAAUAUCCUUUUGAUAUAAAGCCAGCAAUUUUUAUAGCUUUUAUUCCUGG
rnacentral:lncRNA from 1 species